UAUCAUCGAUGCAAAAGGACCAGACAC
rnacentral:piRNA from 1 species